rnacentral:lncRNA from 13 species
UGAAAAUCUAUGUCAUUCAGACUUUCUGACUGUCCUAGAUCCAGUCUGGGAUAAUAUGAUCUUCUAAGUAGAAUAUGCAAUGCAAUAAUUUGUGUUUGAUUUUGUAUUACAAAAUACUCCUUUGUUUCAAUAAGGAAAUGAAGUAGAAGUUGGCAUCAGAAUAGAAUGAAACAAAAACUGAUAUCAGAAGACUUACCCAGGAAAGUAAAACACUUGUUUCCAACUGACUCAACCUUCCAGGGCUGUUUGAGAUGAUGACUACAAGUAAUAUAUUCUGAGGUUCACCAAUAUUUCACUACACUUUCUGACCUUGACAUUGGCUGUUAGAUCUUAGUUGAAGGAUCAGGAUACCAUAUGUAUACUAUGAAGCCAGACAGAGAAACUCUAAAUUUUUUUUUUAUUAGCAAAUAUGUUUAUACUCCAUGGUGACAUGGUGAGAAGCCUGGUUUGCUGGAGAAGGGGAACGUGGCUGGGGUGUGCUGUGCCAAGCAUACAGUCUAGAUUAUUGCAGAGGCAGAAGAUUCUAGACCACACAGAGCCAGGUAGCCCACGAGAUAUAUCUCAACACUGAUUAGAGUGGAGAGCUCAGGGCUAACCCAGAAAACUAAGCCUCGGUACAGCAGGAAAGAUAAGAUUCCAGAAGACUUCAAAUCGCAGAGCAGCAGAAAAAGAGACAGAUGGGCAGUAAAGACAAAACUCUGCACAAUCUUGUGAUGAUGAUGUUAUGAACUUGUGACCAUCGAAUGGAGUCAGCCAUUUGGCAAAUGUCCUUAUGAUCUGUUUUCACAACGUGGAACUUAUUUCCCACCACCUUUUUUGUUCAGAAGGAUGCAGCGAAAAGGCCCUCACCAGAUGCCAGCUCCUUGAUCUUGGAUUCCACAGCUUCCAGAAUGAUGAAUCAAUAAAUUUCUCUUCAUUUAAAAUUACCCAGUCUGUGUUUUUUUGUUGUAGCAGCACAAAGCAGACUA